UAUAGAAAUUAAUUCCUGCAAGUCAACAAAAUGGCAUUACAUUUAAAUUAAGAUGUGUGUUUUAUUUUAUUCUUUAUCAUAAGUAUAUUAAAAUAUAAUCAAUUACAUUAUAAUAUCAGGAAAAAAAGGUUCUUGUCUACCAAUUUAUUUUUAGUAAAUCGUAUUUAGGUAUAUAUUUUGGAUUUGACAUUUAUUUAUUUGCUUAAAAAGACCAUAGAAAAUUCAACAGGACACUUGGUUUUAAAUGAAGACGGAGCUGUUUUGUCAAGUCAUGGUGAUCUGCAAAAUGAUGAAAAGACAGCAAGCUCCAUUUAUAAUCUCAUUUCCAUAGUCAAAAC